CUUUCUUUGCUGGCGACCGGCGCACGGGUGAGUAACACGUAUCCAACCUGCCCUUUACUCGGGGAUAGCCUUUCGAAAGAAAGAUUAAUACCCGAUAGCAUAGUUCUUCCGCAUGGUAGAACUAUUAAAGAAUUUCGGUCAUCGAUGGGGAUGCGUUCCAUUAGGUUGUUGGCGGGGUAACGGCCCACCAAGCCUUCGAUGGAUAGGGGUUCUGAGAGGAAGGUCCCCCACAUUGGAACUGAGACACGGUCCAA
rnacentral:rRNA from 1 species